rnacentral:ncRNA from 1 species
GGGGAAGUAUGGUUGCAAAGCUGAAACUUAAAGGAAUUGACGGAAGGGCACCACCAGGAGUGGAGCUUGCGGCUUAAUUUGACUCAACACGGGAAAACUCACCCGGCCCGGACACUGAGAGGAUUGACAGAUUGAGAGCUCUUUCUUGAUUCAGUGGGUGGUGGUGCAUGGCCGUUCUUAGUUGGUGGAGUGAUUUGUCUGGUUAAUUCCGAUAACGAACGAGACUCUAGCCUACUAAAUAGACUUGCAGUUUACACUGCAGUACUCCCCCUUAGUCAACCUGUGGGUGGUAGUAUCUCUUGAUGGUUUCGGCUGUUGAGGGCUCUGCUGCUAUUAGCCUACAGAAUUGGCUAGGGUAAGGAUGCUGUAGCACUGUAAGGACUUCUUAGAGGGACAAGCGGCGCUCGCAGCCGCACGAAACAGAGCAAUAACAGGUCUGUGAUGCCCUUAGAUGUCCGGGGCCGCACGCGUGCUACACUGAAGUGGUCAUCGUGCAUACUGUUUCUGCUCCGAAAGGAGUGGGUAACCGCUUGAACCCAUUUCGUGAUGGGGAUUGGGCAUUGUAAUUAUUGCCCAUGAACGAGGAAUUCCCAGUAAGCGUGAGUCAUUAGCUUGCGUUGAUUACGUCCCUGCCCUUUGUACACACCGCCCGUCGCUACUACCGAUUGAAUGAUUUAGUGAGGACUUCGGACUGGUCAAUCCAGACCAUUGGGAAACUAGUGGUCGGAUUGUGCUGGAAAGAUGUUCAAACUUGAUCAUUUAGAGGAAGUAAAAGUCGUAACAAGGUUUCCGUAGGUGAACCUGCGGAAG